rnacentral:lncRNA from 1 species
AUCCGACCGUUGGAUGGUAAUGAAAUUUUAGGAUGUUAUCCUAGAGAUAUAUUGUGGACCUCUGGAAGUUAUGGAUUUAAAAUCUGAGUGGCAGAUCUUCCGGAUCGAACUACGUAGUGACGUAUUUUAUAUAAGUUAAAUAUUCUAUCGAUAUGAAUUCUGAGGUUGGAUUUGAUUACUAUUCUAGGCGGCGAUCGUCGUGACGCCUUGAUGUGUGGUGCUAGGGAGUUGUUGGAUGAACUCCAGGUGAGUGGGCAGUUUUGUUUUCCGUAUAUAUAUAUAUACUUAACGUUUUCCCAGAAAUUGAAAAUGCAUGAAAUUAUGUUUAAAAUGAAAUGCAUAUGAGUUAUGUGGAAAAACGGGAAGUGAAAUACCAUGCAUAGAAUUGAUAUGAAAAGUAUAUAGAAAUGUGAGUUGAAAUGCCAUGCAUGAAUUAAUAUAUGAUGCAUAUGUAUGAAUUGGUGCGGUGGACGCACAGGUAAGAAAUUGAUUUAUGACGCAUAUGUAUGAAUUGGUGCGGUGGACGCACAGGUAAGAAUUGAUUUAUGAUGCAUAUGUAUGAAAUGGUGCGGUGGACGCACAGAUGAGUAUUUAAUUACUGUUAUGAUGAUGAUGAUAUAUAUUGAGCUCAAAUCCUGCACCAUGGUUUAGUGCUUAUAGUAUUCACCGCAUCGCACGCUCGCCUUGGAUCCAAGUAGAUGCUAGUCGUACAGUCCACGCGGAGUGGGUACGACAGACCAGUCGCGAGAGUGUUAGUGAGAUUCCGACUGGUGG